ACUACGGGGGGCAGCAGUGGGGGAUAUUGGACAAUGGGGGGAACCCUGAUCCAGCGACGCCGCGUGAGUGAAGAAGUAUUUCGGUAUGUAAAGCUCUGUCAGCAGGGAAGAAAGAAAUGACGGUACCUGACCAAGAAGCCCCGGCUAACUACGUGCCAGCAGCCGCGGUAAUACGUAGGGGGCAAGCGUUAUCCGGAAUUACUGGGUGUAAAGGGAGCGUAGACGGUUAAGUAAGUCUGGAGUGAAAGGCCGGGGCCCAACCCCGGGACUGCUCUGGAAACUAUUGAACUUGAGUGCAGGAGAGGUAAGCGGAAUUCCUAGUGUAGCGGUGAAAUGCGUAGAUAUUAGGAGGAACACCAGUGGCGAAGGCGGCUUACUGGACUGUAACUGACGUUGAGGCUCGAAAGCGUGGGGAGCAAACAGGAUUAGAUACCCCAGUAGUC
rnacentral:rRNA from 1 species